GACGAACGCUGGCGGCGUGCUUAACACAUGCAAGUCGAACGGAAAGGCCCUGCUUUUGUGGGGUGCUCGAGUGGCGAACGGGUGAGUAACACGUGAGUAACCUGCCCUUGACUUUGGGAUAACUUCAGGAAACUGGGGCUAAUACCGGAUAGGAGCUCCUGCUGCAUGGUGGGGGUUGGAAAGUUUCGGCGGUUGGGGAUGGACUCGCGGCUUAUCAGCUUGUUGGUGGGGUAGUGGCUUACCAAGGCUUUGACGGGUAGCCGGCCUGAGAGGGUGACCGGCCACAUUGGGACUGAGAUACGGCCCAGACUCCUACGGGAGGCAGCAGUGGGGAAUAUUGCACAAUGGGCGGAAGCCUGAUGCAGCAACGCCGCGUGCGGGAUGACGGCCUUCGGGUUGUAAACCGCUUUCGCCUGUGACGAAGCGUGAGUGACGGUAAUGGGUAAAGAAGCACCGGCUAACUACGUGCCAGCAGCCGCGGUGAUACGUAGGGUGCGAGCGUUGUCCGGAUUUAUUGGGCGUAAGGGGCUCGUAGGUGGUUGAUCGCGUCGGAGGUGUAAUCUUGGGGCUUAACCCUGAGCGUGCUUUCGAUACGGGUUGACUUGAGGAAGGUAGGGGAGAAUGGAAUUCCUGGUGGAGCGGUGGAAUGCGCAGAUAUCAGGAGGAACACCAGUGGCGAAGGCGGUUCUCUGGGCCUUUCCUGACGCUGAGGAGCGAAAGCGUGGGGAGCGAACAGGCUUAGAUACCCUGGUAGUCCACGCUGUAAACGGUGGGUACUAGGUGUGGGGUCCAUUCCACGGGUUCCGUGCCGUAGCUAACGCUUUAAGUACCCCGCCUGGGGAGUACGGCCGCAAGGCUAAAACUCAAAGGAAUUGACGGGGCCCCGCACAAGCGGCGGAGCAUGCGGAUUAAUUCGAUGCAACGCGUAGAACCUUACCUGGGUUUGACAUGGAUCGGGAGUGCUCAGAGAUGGGUGUGCCUCUUUUGGGGUCGGUUCACAGGUGGUGCAUGGCUGUCGUCAGCUCGUGUCGUGAGAUGUUGGGUUAAGUCCCGCAACGAGCGCAACCCUUGUUCACUGUUGCCAGCACGUUAUGGUGGGGACUCAGUGGAGACCGCCGGGGUCAACUCGGAGGAAGGUGGGGAUGACGUCAAGUCAUCAUGCCCCUUAUGUCCAGGGCUUCACGCAUGCUACAAUGGCUGGUACAGAGAGUGGCGAGCCUGUGAGGGUGAGCGAAUCUCGGAAAGCCGGUCUCAGUUCGGAUUGGGGUCUGCAACUCGACCUCAUGAAGUCGGAGUCGCUAGUAAUCGCAGAUCAGCAACGCUGCGGUGAAUACGUUCCCGGGGCU
rnacentral:rRNA from 1 species